GCCAGAAUGGCCGAGUGGUCUUAGGCGCCAGACUCAAGUUCUGGUCCUCUUAGAGGGCGUGGGUUCGAAUCCUACUUCUGACA
rnacentral:tRNA from 1 species